ACUGUUAAUAAAAAGGAUCGUGUUUCCUGGCAAAUCUUAACAGCAUGCUGGCGAUAAAAAUAAAAACAUUAUGCAGCCAAACGCCGUAACCGGGCCAUUGCUCGUUCUGCGGCUGUAGGAGGAAAUCGUUGACCAGCACAUAAAAAGCCGCAAUGAGGCAUCCGAAGCUGAUCAUCAGGCAGACGAGCAGGUAAGUGCGGGCCACAUUUGGCGAGAAACAGCCCGUUUGGUAAGUGAGGCUGUCGUAAAAAAAGUGCGCUGGGAUGAUGUUGGUGAAGAAGAAUGCGAAGGUGCCAACCAACGCCGGCAGGUAGUAGAGUUGGUUGCCUGCCAUCACGGACUGCACUGAACUGUCGGCAAUAAUCCACCAUCCGGAGAAAAAAAGCACACUCGAAAGGCCGGAUAUGAUGAGGUUGAAUUGCAGACGGUUGAGGUGCAAGUGGGAGGACGAGAAGUGAAACAUCACGGCCAAUAACGCGGAUAAUUUAGCUAGUGUCGAUACUUGAAUUUACUGUCAAUGUCACUGGUUGACUGCCAGGAAAUUCUCCUAUGUCAAAAUGACAGCAAGGAACUUCAACCCACAGAACACCUCUGAACUUCAACCUGAAAGUGUUGCCAGCCGGUUGUUUCAUUCAUUGUGUGGAAGGGCACAAUUUUGGCAAAUUGUCGUGUUAAAUUCCAAGUGCACCGACUAAAUGUGCCGACAAUCCAGCCGCCUCGGGAAACAAUCAUUCGCCAAAUGAUCGCCAACUGACUGCAAAAGCCAAGUGCACUGACUAAAUGUGUAAUGCACGUGAGGACGGGCAUUUGUUUCGGGGCUGAUUAGAUCACAGCUGAAUACUUGCCUCUCCACAUACCCAAACCGUGUAAAUCCAGUUGAAACAGAGUAUGUAUCAGCAAUUCGGCAUUUAGUGGAUAAGAUGCAGUGUGGCGAGAAAAGGGGCGCCGGCUCGGGGCAGCUUGUCGGCGGCGUCACAAGAACGGGCAGCUCGGCAGCGUGCCCGGCGCCAUGGCGGCCCCAAUGAGGUCGGGCCAUCCGCAGGACGGCCAGGGCCACCGAGCGAGGGUGGCGGACUCCUGCAAAGGCGCGACGGCCGCCAGAGGGCCCCACCAGCCAUCAGCCGGUCAGCCGCAGCAGCACCAGCCUAACCAACCAGCAGCCACAGCGGCUAAUUUCGAGUACGAUGAUAAUGAAUGGGACAUUGGCAUAGGUGACCUGAUCAUCGACUUGGACGCGGACAUUGAAAAAACAAACGAGCAGCAGCAGCCGGUGCACGGCACCGGAGCCAAUAUGGCGGCGAAUACCGGCAGUGGGCCCCAAGCGUCCAAGACUGCGGCCACCGCCAAAAUGCACAUUGAGCACUCGGCCACGGCCGACAAAGGGCUCAAAAUGAAAAUCAAACG